rnacentral:rRNA from 1 species
AACGAACGCUGGCGGCAGGCCUAACACAUGCAAGUCGAGCGAACCCUUCGGGGUUAGCGGCGGACGGGUUAGUAACGCGUGGGAAUAUACCCUUUGGUACGGAAUAGCCUCGGGAAACUGAGAGUAAUACCGUAUGUGCCCUUCGGGGAAGGAUUAUCGCCAAAGGAUUAGCCCGCGUUGGAUUAGAUAGUUGGUGGGGUAAGUGGCCUACCAAGUCUACGAUCCAUAGCUGGUUUGAGAGGAUGAUCAGCAACACUGGGACUGAGACACGGCCCAGACUCCUACGGGAGGCAGCAGUGGGGGAAUCUUAGACAAUGGGCGCAAGCCUGAUCUAGCCAUGCCGCGUGGACGACGAAGGCCUUAGGGUUGUAAAGUCCUUUCAGAUGGGAAGGAUAAUAGACGGUACCAUCAGAAGAAGCCCCGGCUAACUACCGUGCCAGCAGCC